AUUCCGGURCCGUCAUCCACACCAUUUAUURGAUGGUGCGAUUUCGUCCCGGCCGAAAGAGCUUUACAACCCGAAGGCCUUCUUCACUCACGCGGCAUGGCUGGAUCAGGGUUGCCCCCAUUGUCCAAAAUUCCCCACUGCUGCCUCCCGUAGGAGUCUGGGCCGUGUCUCAGUCCCAGUGUGGCUGGUCGUCCUCUCAGACCAGCUACGGAUCGUCGCCUUGGUAGGCCUUUACCCUACCAACUAGCUAAUCCGGCAUCGGCCGCUCGUAUAACGUGAGGUCUUGCGAUCCCCCACUUUCCCCCUCAGGGCGUAUGCGGUAUUAGCAAGUCUUUCGACUCGUUAUCCCCCAUUACACGGUACGUUCCGAUGCAUUACUCACCCGUUCGCCACUCGCCACCAGGGUUGCCCCCGUGCUGCCGUUCGACUUGCAUGUGUAAAGCAUGCCGCCAGCGUUCAAUCUGAGCCAGGAUCAAACUCUAAUCACUAGUGAAUUCGCGGCCGCCUGCAGGUCGACCAUAUGGGAGAGCUCCCAACGCGUUGGAUGCAUAGCUUGAGUAUUCUAUAGUGUCACCUAAAUAGC
rnacentral:rRNA from 1 species